UACGUAGGUGGCAAGCGUUGUCCGGAAUUACUGGGCGUAAAGCGCGCGUAGGCGGUUUUGCAAGCCAGAGGUGAAAUGCCUGAGCUCAACUCAGGAAUGGCCUUUGGGACUGCGAGGCUUUGAGGACUGGAGAGGUGAGUGGAAUUCCCAGUGUAGAGGUGAAAUUCGUAGAUAUUGGGAAGAACACCGGUGGCGAAGGCGGCUCACUGGCCAGUUUCUGACGCCGUAGCGCGAAAGCGUGGGGAUCAAACAGG
rnacentral:rRNA from 1 species